UACAGGGGGUGCAAACGUUGCUCGGAAUCAUUGGGCGUAAAGCGCACGUAGGCGGUUCGUUAUGUCGGAUGUGAAAGCCCUUGGCUUAACCGAGGAAGUGCAUCCGAAACUGGCGAGCUAGAGUACGAAAGAGGAUCGCGGAAUUCCCGGUGUAGAGGUGAAAUUCGUAGAUAUCGGGAGGAACACCGGUGGCGAAGGCGGCUCACUGGCUCGUAACUGACGCUCAUGCACGACAGCGUGGGGAUCAAACAGG
rnacentral:rRNA from 1 species